CUCAAAAAAGAAAGAAAGAAAGAAAGAAAGUAGAAUUCUCACUUGCCAUCUGGGGGCCUGAGCUCAAGUCACAGCCAACAUAGCAUGUGUUCAGGAUUAAGUAGGCCGAGAAAUCACAUGCCAUAUUCCUUAGAGAUCUGAUUCAAAUUAUAAACUGCAGCCAGAUAGAUGGAGGUAACAUUAACAGCUUUAUUGUCAGUAGAGCCAGAAUACAGAACACAUUGUAACCUGGACCUGCAAUCACAAUCAAGCUUGCUGCCUUCUUCCCGGAAUCUAGACCUUGCAAUGCAUCUGCUGGGUCGAGUAUUUGGCAAGGCAGAUACUUACUUAUCUAUUUAGGCAGCCUACCAAAAGAAAAAUUGCUUACCCCUCACUUGUCAAGCCUCAAGUGUUGGGAAAGAAUAGUGUCACAUGCAAUUGGUUUUUAAUACAGGUAUUGCACUCACUUAAGAAAUGGAAACAGGCUGGGCACGGUGGCUCACACCUGCAAUCCCAGCACUUUGGGAGGCUGAGAUGGGAGGAUUGCUUGAGCCAAGGAGUUAGAGACCAGCUGAGGCAACAUAGUGAAACCCCUAUCAAUCACUACAAAAAAAACAAAAAACAAAAAUUAGCCAGGCAUGGUGGUGUUUACCUGUGGUCCCAGCUACUCAGGAGGCCAAGGCAGGAGGAUCACUUGAACAAGAGGUAGAGGCUGCAGUGGGCAAUGAUCACACCACUGCACUCUAGCCUAGGUGACAGAGCAAGACCCUGUCUCAAAAAAAAAAAAAAGAAAAGAAAAGAGAAAAUUUGGGCUGGGGGGAGCAACUGAUGUCAAACUUUUUUUUUCUUUUGUUUUUGUUUUUUUGAGACAAGGUCUCACUCUGUUACCCAGGUGCAAUCUCUGCUCACCGCAACCUUCGCCUCCCAGAUUCAAGUGAUUCUCAUGCCUUAGCCUCCCGAAUAGCUGGGAUUACAGGCACAUGCCACUACGCCUGGCUAAUUUUUGUAUUUUUGGUAGAGACAGGGUUUCACCAUGUUGGCCAGGCUGGUCUCAAACUCCUGACCUCAAGUGAUCCACUCACCUCAAUCUCCCAAAGUGCUGGAAUUACAGGCAUGAGCCACCACACCUGGCGAUGUUGAACUCUUGCCACUCACCAAUCAGAAACAUAAAUUCUCUUUUUUCCAAAGAAAUAAUAACCUUAUAGAAAUGUGAGAAUAGAGUUCCCUUUGUCAUUGAGCAUACCAAUUAGUUUUAAAAACCAUUUCUUUUAUUUCUUCUUGAGUUAUUUUCUCUAUUAUUUUGCCUAUUUAAUUUGGAUUUUCCCUUUCAUAAUGAUUUUCUCCAUGCAUCUAGGAUGCCUAGUGGUCUAUUUAGUUUUAGGGAAAGAUGAUACUAAAACAUUUACUGAAGAAGCUGAGUGUGUAGGUGAAGCUCCUCUGGUAGGCUCUACUCUGGGCAGUAGCCAGCAAACUUUUUUCUGUAAAGGGCCAGAAAAUAUUUUAGGCUUUGCAGGCCGUAAGGUCUAUGUUGCAACUUUGCAAUUCUACCAUAGAUAAUAUGUAAAUGAAUAGACAGGAUGCAUUUCAAUAAAACCUUAUUUGUAAGAAGAGGGAUUGAGCCACUUUGCAGACCUCUGCUCUAAGGCGAAUCAGAUGAGAAGUUGGACCCUUGCUUGGGGUAUAGGUGCUAGGAAUUCUUUGCAGAAGUUUGCAGAGAUGAAGAGUUGCAGCCAGUCUACAUAUGGAAUAAUAAACCAUGGUUGUCUCAUGGUUUAUUAGUGCAUAUGUAGAACAGCUGCAUGCCCCUGUUCAAAAAGCUGGUAUGCCCCUUUUUGUGCUUAUCAGCUCUGAGUCUCAAGUUCACUUUUCAUCACUAUCCUCUUUUGCAUAAAUUAUAUCAUGGCUUUCUCCACCCUGUUACGUCUGUUGCUGCUGCUUUUGUCUUCUGUCUUCUGAAAAUUUGUUGAAAUCUUUCAUCUAGAAUUGUCUCUUUUCCAAUUCUCUUUGUUUGCAUUGAUUUAUAUAUUUUUAAAAUUUAUUAUCCUUUCACUUGGGUCUUAAGAGACAGACAGAAUAAAAAAUAUUUAUGAAUACACUAUAUCAAGAAACUUGUGUGUGUGUGUGUGUCUUUUUUUUUUUUUUUUUUUUUUUUUGAGACAGGGUCUCGCUCUGUUACCCAGGCUGGGGUGAAGUGGCAUGAUCAUGGCUCACUGCAACCUUGACCUCUCAGGCUCAAGUGAUCCUCCCACCUCAGCCUCCCAAGUAGCUGGGACUACAGGCACACACCAACACACCUGGCUAAUUUUUAAAUUUUUUUUGUAGAGACAGGGUCUCACUAUAUUGCCUAAACUGAUCUUGAUCUCCUGGACUCAAGCGAUCCUCCCACCUUGGCCUCCCAAAGUGCUGGGAUUACAGGUGUAAACCGCCGUGCCCAGCAAUUUUUAAUUUUUUGUAGAGAUGGGAUCUCCCUUUGUUUGUUGCCCAAGCUGGUCUCAAACUCCUGGGCUCAAGCGAUCCUCCUGCGUCAGCCUCCCAAAGUGAGAUUACAGGUAGAAACCACUAAAAAACAAUUUUUUAUCUUCAGCUUUUAAGGGGUACAUAUGCAGGAUGUGCAGGUUUGUUACAUAGGUAAAUGUGUGGUGUGGUGGUUUGCUGUACAGAUCAUCCCAUCACCUAGAUGUUAAGCCCAGCAUCCAUUAGCUAUUCUUCCUGAUUCUCUCCCUCCCCUCCUCAACAGGCCCCAGUGGCGUGUUGUUCCCCCUAUGUGUCCAUGUGUUCUCACCAUUCAGCUCCCACUUAUAAGUGAGAAUAUGCACUGUUUGGUUUUCCGUUCCUGCCUUAGUUUGCUAAGGAUAACGGCCUCCAGCUCCAUGCAUAUCCAUGCAAAUGACAAGAUCUUGUUCUUUUUUAUGGCUGCAUAGUAUUUCAUGGUGUGUAUAUAUAUGUGUACAGUAUUUUAUUUGUCCAGUCUAUGAUGGACAUUUGGAUGGAUUCCACAUAUUUGCUAUUGUGAAUAGUGCUGCAGUGAACAUACGCAUCCAUGUAUCUUUAUAAUAGAAUGAUUUAUAUUCCUUUGGAUAUAUACCCAGCAAUGGUAUUGCUGGGUCAAAUGGUAUUUCUGCUUUUAGAUCUUUGGGGAAUUGCCACACUGUCUUCCACAAUGGUUAAACUAAUUUACACUCCCAGCAACAGUGUAAAGGUGUUCCUUUUCCUCCACAACCUCGGAAGCAUCUGUUAUUUUUUUUUUUUUUGACAUUUUAAUAAUUGCCAUUCUGACUGGUGUGAGAUGGUAUUUCAUUGUGGUUUUGAUUAGGAUUUCUCUAAUGAUCAGUGAUGUUGAGCUUCUUUUCAUAGGUUUGUUGGCCAUAUGCAUGUCUUCUUUUGAGAAGUGUCUGUUCAUGUCCUUUGCCCACUUUUUAAUGGGGUUUUUUCUUGUAAAUUUGUUUAAGUUAUUUGUAGACUCUGGAUAUUAGACUUUUGUCAGAUGGACAGAUUGCAAAAAUGUUCUCCCAUUCUGUAAGUUGUCUACUUGCUCUGGUGAUAGUUUCUUUUGCUGUGCAGAAGCUCUUUAGUUCAAUUAGAUCCCAGUCGUCAAUUUUUGCUUGUGUUGCAAGUGAUUUUGGUAUUUGCAUUAUAAAAUCUUUGCCUGUGCCUAUGUCCCAGAUAGUAUUGCCUAGAUUUUCUUCUAGGGAUUUUAUAGUUUUGGGUUUUACAUUUAAGUCUUUAAUCCAUCUGGAACUAAUUUUUGUAUGAAGGUGUAAGGAAAGGGUUCAGUUUCAAUUUUCUGCAUACGGCUAGCCAGUUCUCCCAGCACCAUUGAUUAAAUAGGGAGUCCUUUCCCCAUUGCUUGUUUUUGUCAGGUUUGUUGAAGAUCAGAUGGUUGUAGGUGUGCUAAAUUCUUAAUACUGGGGUAAUAUUAAUUAGUUUAUUUUUACUUUCACUAGCUUUGAACCUAUUUAAAAUGUUGUUUGUUUUUAAAUUAGUAUCAUCUUUUUAAAUCCUAUGUAAAAAGUUUCCCUUCAGGUAGGCAACUCACUCCUACCACAGAAGUUGAUUGCAGGCCCACAUAUAUAGGCACAAGCUGGGUCAUUCCCAAUUUCCAAACCAAUCUUACCUAAAAGUCUUUUUUCCUCUAAGGUGUUCCCUAGAUUGAAUAUUUUCAUGAAAACAGAAACAUUAGCUUUCAUCAGGGUCUCUACGUCACAAGGCCAAGUUCAGAUGCUGAACACACAUGAAUGGUCAGUGUGUGAACAGUGUCUGAAUGCAGUAGAGCUCUGGUGGGUGCCACUAGGACUUCUGCCCAAUUAAGUGUUUUCCUCUUCUCAAUAAGGUCCAAAGUUUUCCUACAGAAAAGCAAAGCAAGACUUGUAGAAGGGAAUUGUGACUCUCAUGAAGAAUCUUAUGGAUUUCUGAAGGUAUCGUCCAG
rnacentral:lncRNA from 10 species